CAGCCUCUCUGCGCUUGCUCCGACUGCUCCCAUAAGCAACCUGACGGAGGAGAUGCGUAAGUAGCGGGCCCUCAGUGGAGACGGUGAUGUUGGGGACGUCCUUCCGUUGUGCACUGACGGACUUCUCUCUCCUAUUUAAGAUGCUGAUGAAUCCUUCUUUAAGAUCUUCUGAAGACUUGAUCUCUGUUUCGUGGACUCCAAAAAUGUGAAAUGGAAAAUAAAAAAUAACAAACA